GGAGAAGGAGGCUGCCGUAGGUGUAGCUGGAGGAGGCUGCCGUAGCUGGAGGAGGCUGCCGAAGGUGGAGGAGGCCGUGGCUGGAGGAGGCUGGAGGCUGCCGAAGGUGGAGGAGGCUGGAGGAGGCUGCCGUGGCUGCCGAAGGUGGAGGAGGCUGCCGAAGGCACAACACUCAGGAGUGCUGUGAGUUGCAUGACACCUGCAGAGGCUCCAUACUACAGACUACUUCUACUCGGUACUACAGAAACCGGAUCACUUGACAAGCCUGUGUCCUGUUUUGGCCUUCCACACUCUGUAGGAUUGCAUAGGCUCCAUUUCUUCUCCCACAUCACCAUUCCAAAACAACUCCAGAUGUUUCGUUUGUAUUAUGGCCAGUUUCUUUACAUCUGUUACACUACCUGUGUUUUUGCACCCAAAACUGGACUGCUCUAUCUGUUUCUUGUUUUUUAUCAUUAUCACUUGCAUUGCUGUAAAUAUGUUCCAUUAGCUCAGUUUUGCAACUAUGAAGUGUACAGUUUUGUUGUUGUAUUACUGUUACGCUGAGCAAAAAUAAACCUCAAACCUUACUCUUAGGCCUAUGUGAAUUCUUCAUGCGUGUCGUGCUCUGUCAACAGUUUGAUGCUUACAAAGCAUUCCAAGUGUCUGUAUGAUGUUCUACCAUUAUGCUAUGCCUUCACACAGUUAAUAACAAAAGGUAUACAGUAUUAAAAAUGCAUAUUCACACUAGGUUAUUGUCUAACUUGGCACCAUAGCAAUGAGCAUCCAGUGUAUUUCUGUGUUCAAAACAUACAUAAAUACAUUUUAAAAAAAAAUUAAUUGACCCACUCAAGUACUGGUUAUACAGUUGUUGUCUUUUUUUAAUUAUAAUUUAUUUAGUCCACAUGACAGAUCCAUGGCCCUGCUCCAUGCCACUGAUUCAGAGUCGUGUGUAGGGACUACACGUCUCUGCCCUGAUCCUCUUCACUCUGCCUGCAUGCAACGAUGCAUGUUUUUGGCAGGUCUGAUGCAGCCUCAUAAAGGCUAAAGCUGGCCUGCGUCUCACUGCUAGAGAUCUA